UCUUCGGUAGUAUAGUGGUUAGUAUCCCAGUCUGUCACGUUGGAGACCGGGGUUCGAUUCCCCGUCGAAGAG